UACACGACCGUACCGCAAACCGACACUGGUGCGCGAGAUGAGUAUUCUAAGGCGCUUGAGAGAACUCAGGAGAAGGAACUCGGCAAAUUGACACCGUAACUUCGGAAGAAGGUGUGCCUUUAGUAGGUGAACCUGUACAAGGGGAGCCCAAUGAGGUUGCAAAAAAUCGGUGGCUGCGACUGUUUAAUAAAAACACAGCACUCUGCAAACACGAAAGUGGACGUAUAGGGUGUGACGCCUGCCCGGUGCUGGAAGAUUAAAUGAUGGGGUGCAAGCUCUUGAUUGAAGUCCCAGUAAACGGCGGCCGUAACUAUAACGGUCCUAAGGUAGCGAAAUUCCUUGUCGGGUAAGUUCCGACCUGCACGAAUGGCGUAACGAUGGCCACACUGUCUCCUCCUGAGACUCAGCGAAGUUGAAAUGUUUGUGAUGAUGCAAUCUCCCCGCGGAAAGACGGAAAGACCCCAUGAACCUUUACUGUAGCUUUGUAUUGGACUUUGAACAGAUCUGUGUAGGAUAGGUGGGAGGCUUUGAAGUGUGGUCGCUAGAUCGCAUGGAGCCAACGUUGAAAUACCACCCUGGUGUGUUUGAGGUUCUAACCUAGGCCCGUAAUCCGGGUCGGGGACAGUGCAUGGUAGGCAGUUUGACUGGGGCGGUCUCCUCCCAAAGCGUAACGGAGGAGUUCGAAGGUACGCUAGGUACGGUCGGACAUCGUGCUAAUAGUGCAAUGGCAUAAGCGUGCUUAACUGCGAGACUGACAAGUCGAGCAGAUGCGAAAGCAGGACAUAGUGAUCCGGUGGUUCUGUAUGGAAGGGCCAUCGCUCAACGGAUAAAAGGUACUCUGGGGAUAACAGGCUGAUACCGCCCAAGAGUUCAUAUCGACGGCGGUGUUUGGCACCUCGAUGUCGGCUCAUCUCAUCCUGGGGCUGUAGCCGGUCCCAAGGGUAUGGCUGUUCGCCAUUUAAAGAGGUACGUGAGCUGGGUUUAAAACGUCGUGAGACAGUUUGGUCCCUAUCUUCCGUGGGCGCUGCAGAUUUGAGGAAGCCUGCUCCUAGUACGAGAGGACCGGAGUGGACACACCUCUGGUGUAUCGGUUGUCACGCCAGUGGCAUUGCCGAGUAGCUAUGUGUGGAAGAGAUAACCGCUGAAAGCAUCUAAGCGGGAAACUCGUUUCAAGAUGAGAUCUGCCGGGGCCUUGAGCCCCCUAAAGAGUCGUUCAAGACCAGGACGUUGAUAGGUCGGGUGUGGAAGCGCAGUAAUGCGUUAAGCUAACCGAUACUAAUUGCUCGUGCGGCUUGAUC
rnacentral:rRNA from 1 species